rnacentral:RNase_P_RNA from 1 species
GGGGUUGAUCAAGCAGUCGCGGGCCGUGGAGAGACAACCGCGGUUCGAGGAAAGUCCGGACACCGAAGGGCGGGGUGGUCGGGAAGCCGACCCGGGGAAACCCGCGGGAAAGUGCCACAGAAAUGACACCGCCUAAGCGGGCCCCUCACGUGAGGGCCCGACGGUAAGGGUGAAAUGGUGCGGUAAGAGCGCACCGGCGGCGUGGCGACACGCCGGCCAGGCAAACCCCACCCGGUGCAAGGCCAAGCAGGGACGAUGACGCUGCCCGCCGAGUCCCAGGUAGGCCGCAGGGCCGCAGGGCCCGUCUUACGCGCGCGUACGCGCGUGAGAGAGAUAGAUGGCUGUUCAAGACAGGAUCCGGCUUAUCGAUCGACUAAGGCG